UCUUUUGAGGUUUCAAAGGGGGAGUGGGAAUAUCUGGCUAUAUAAAGUGAACUUAGUAUAAUCUUUUGGACCUCAAGAAGCAUCACUUCUAACAUCUCCCUCUAGAUACUACAGUUUCAAAUUGAGGCAAAGAUGCAUCUCCACAAAGUUGGAUGUAUAGGUGAGAAGUGAAUUCCAGCAGCCUAAACUCUAAAAGAAAGAUACAGAUACUCUGCAAAGGCUACCAGAGUUACAUCAUAUAUAUUCACUGUUUAGUGUUUUGUUGACAGUUUGCUUUGCUUACUAAUGAGUAACAAAACAAUGAUAAAUACAACAUACAAAAGGAGGCAGCUGAUCUGAUAGGUUUGGAUUAGUAUCCACUAACUGAAGCUAACUGGUUUUACAAAUUCCAAAUCACUUACUCGCCUAUUUUGGUACACCAUCAAAUGAAAAAAGUAGAGACAGUGGUUGCUGUGCAUGUGGGUGAACCAGGGGACCAGAAGAAGUUGACAGAAGAGAGAAAGCACGGUGGAAAUCUUGAGAUUGAUGGAGGACUUCUGAGUAUUCUCCCACACCUGCCAAAAAACAGUUCACCUAAUGUCCAAGGAACUAGAUAUCUAUAUAUAUUAAAAAGACCAGUGAGAAGUGCAAAAUACCAAGUUGAAACUUGUUCUUCCCUGCUGAGAACCCGCCUGAGGUUUGAUACGCAGAUAAAGAGUGGUUGCUACUAGCAAACAACUGCUCUUCCUUAGAUCCAUUGCCUCUCUGGAAGCUCAAGGUAAAGCCACUUUCCCUCUGUGUUGGCUUUGUAUCACAAGUGGUACCCCACACAACAUUUGUAUGCUGUCUUUGAUCUGCAGGAGUAAGCAUUUCACAUUUAGAUCUCCAUCAAAUGAAGUUGUGUAUGUGUGUGACAGAGACAGAUAGACAGAUAGACAAAUGAAGUGAUUCUUACCAUACACCCUCUCUGGAUUAAAUGGAAAGACUCCUUGUGACUUGCGACGCCUUGCAUUAUGAUGAGAAAGACGUAUGCGGCAGCUUCGUUUCUUCUCAUCAAACUCAGAGACGGCAUGCAACCUGAAAAUUACAACAUGUUCUCAACCAUGAGCAUGCAGCUUCAGAAUCAAAUGAGAGGCCAGAACAUAAUUAUAAUUAAGGGUCCUUUUUACCUGCUACACUGUUGGCAGAAUCGUCGUUCCACGCCACUCACAGUAACUUUGGGGCACUUUGAAUGGGUUUCACAGACUCUAUGCUUGCGGUGAUAGUCCUUAGCAGAUGAGAGAUCCAGAUCACAUCCAUCAACUUGGCAACGAGGGACUUGCAUGCUGCUCUGACCACAGGACUUAGAUUUCUUCCGAGUAACAACACAAGGAGCCAACAGCUUCGUAGAAACGGGUGAAACGUCUCUACCAGAGUACGUCCGCUUUCCAAGUUUUAAACAAAGGUCUGAUUCAGCAGCUGUGGAUGUCUUCACCUGGACAAAAUCUAUGUUGCUGCAAGAAUCUCCAGGGGAAUUUUCUGAUGCAAGCUUGGUUUGUUUGAUUAUGGGAGAUGAUGAGUUGGUGGAGGUUGACUGUGAGCUUUUUGAUACAGAAGUGGUGUGCCAGAAACUGGUGGUAGAGUCAUUACUAACUCUCUGGAGGCCAUCCAAACAGGGAAAUAAAGAUUCAAUUCCUUCACCUUUCUCAAUUUCCCACUCACUAGUAGUAGUAGUAAGCUGCUUUUUGUCAUUUGAAGGAUUGGAGAUGAUCAGAUUCUCCCAGUCCCACAGCAACGGAGAUCUCAUGUUACAGUCCAUAGCAAGAAGAUGUGGAGAGACUUAUCAGAGUAACAACAAAUCCUGCAAAGCUUUGCAUAUAAGAAAAUAUCAAAUAAGAGAGAAAACUAAGCAAUCCUUGAAAUGCUUGCUACCUAAUAGAAGACGUCAAGACCUUUGUGAAUAUCAAGCACCACACACACACACACUCUCUUUUGAAGUAAGCAAAAGAGAAAGAUUUUCUAUGUUUCACACUUAGAGACCAUCAAAAAGGGGGGAAGAGAGAGAGAGAGAGAGAGUAAUAUCUUUUUUCUUCUUGGGUGCGUGCUCUCUCCAUCACACAAAAACUAAGUGGCAUUUAUUGAAAUGGGGCCAAAGAAUAUCAAAUGCAAGGCAAGUUGAGAAGAAACACACGAUGUAAACGGAAUCUAAUUUAAUAAUACACAUUAAUUUAAAACGUUUUUACUUUUUUUUUGUACUUUGCAGAAGGGUUCUUCCCCCUAACUAACCACCCAAGGAGGUUACCUAAAAGCUUUUACUCAUAGGGUCUACACAGUGAAUGAAACAAUGUCAAAGAAAACGGCACCAAAGUGAUGUGUCUUAAAGAAAAAAACAAUGUGACAGUAAGUUAGGUUCCGAUCCCAAUCAGUACGGUCCCCAUUAGCCCUUAGUAUGUUUAAAGAAGUGGUCCCAAAAACCACCAAUAAAUUCCCUACUCAUUUCAUAUGAGUAAGGAAUGCAAAGUCACUCCAUUAUAUGGUCAGGUUGCAACCUAAUGGGAGUGUUUCUAUUCGAAGAAAAUAAGAAUGUGUAACGUUCAUUUGCUCAAGUGAAACCAGUUGCAUGUUUAGGUUUUGGUUUCAUCUACUUUUCCAAACCUAUGAAGUUGUCUUCUUCUUGGAUCAUGAUGUAUUGUAUGUCAACUUCUUCUUGGAUCAUGUUGUAUUGUAUGUACUUGCUGGAUUGUUGAAUGUCAAUUUCGUUACUUUAUCGGACAUGUCUAUUGUUUCAUAAACAUACAUCAACUGUUUUAUUAAAUGAUGCAUCCUGUGACAAGAGAAUCUUUUGAGGUUUCAAAGGGGGAGUGGGAAUAUCUGGCUAUAUAAAGUGAACUUAGUAUAAUCUUUUGGACCUCAAGAAGCAUCACUUCUAACAUCUCCCUCUAGAUACUACAGUUUCAAAUUGAGGCAAAGAUGCAUCUCCACAAAGUUGGAUGUAUAGGUGAGAAGUGAAUUCCAGCAGCCUAAACUCUAAAAGAAAGAUACAGAUACUCUGCAAAGGCUACCAGAGUUACAUCAUAUAUAUUCACUGUUUAGUGUUUUGUUGACAGUUUGCUUUGCUUACUAAUGAGUAACAAAACAAUGAUAAAUACAACAUACAAAAGGAGGCAGCUGAUCUGAUAGGUUUGGAUUAGUAUCCACUAACUGAAGCUAACUGGUUUUACAAAUUCCAAAUCACUUACUCGCCUAUUUUGGUACACCAUCAAAUGAAAAAAGUAGAGACAGUGGUUGCUGUGCAUGUGGGUGAACCAGGGGACCAG
rnacentral:lncRNA from 1 species